rnacentral:tRNA from 1 species
AGGAUAAUAGUUAAAUAAUUAACAUUUGAAUUGCAAUCAAAAAUUAUUAAUAUUAAUUAAUUUAUCUUA